rnacentral:SRP_RNA from 1 species
UGCAGCCGGGGAGAUAGCGGUGCCCUGUACCUGCAAUCCGCUACAGCAGGGGUGAUGUCUAGCCUAGGGCAAUGUGUUGUAGAGCAGCCCUUAAUAAGUGGCGUUGACGUUUGGGUCUUACGCAACAGGAAUUUGUGAACCGUGUCAGGGCAGGAAUGCAGCAGCACUAAGCAAAACCUCUUGUGUGCCGUAAGGGAGCCUGGGCCGAGUUAACUGUUAAGGUAACGUCUAUGAGCAUUGUUCGAAGCAAGGCGCACGG